rnacentral:rRNA from 1 species
CCUACGGGUGGCAGCAGUAGGGAAUUUUCGGCAAUGGGGGGAACUCUGACCGAGCAACGCCGCGUGAACGAUGAAGUUCUUCGUAAUGUAAAGUUCUUUUCACAGGGAAGAAAGAGAAAUUUGACGGUACCUGAUGAAUAAGCUCCGGCUAACUACGUGCCAGCAGCCGCGGUAGUACGUGGGGAGCGAGGUUCACCAGGAAUUAUGGGGCGAAAGGGGUGCGUGGAUGGAAUAGUAGGUCUUUUGUAAAAAUGCUGGGCUCAACCCAGUAGGGCAAAAGAUACUGCUAAGCUAGAGUAUGACAGAGGCAAGUGGAACUACUUGUGUAGCGGUAAAAUGCGUAGAUAUAUGUAAGAACACCAGUGGCGAAGGCGACUUGCUGGGUCGAUACUGACAUUGAGGCACGAAAGCGUGGGGAGCAAACAGGAUUAGAUACCCUUGUAGUC